rnacentral:snRNA from 1 species
CAGGGGGGAUACCAUGAUCAUGAAGGUGGUUUUCCCAGAGCAAGGCUUAUCCAUUGCACUCCCAGUCUUUACAUGUCUAAAAUGUUUUUAUUGAACACUCACAUUAGGUUGAUAAUUUG